rnacentral:rRNA from 1 species
AACGAACGCUGGCGGCGUGGAUUAGGCAUGCAAGUCGAACGCGAAAGAGGGGGUAACUCCUCGAGUAGAGUGGCGAACGGGUGAGUAACGCGUGAAGAACCUGCCUUCAACAGGGGGAUAACACUCCCAACGGGUGCUAAACCGCAUGAGACCACGGGGCUGCAUGGCCCAGGGGUCAAAGGUGGCCUCUACUUGUAAGCUAACCGGUUGAAGAUGGCUUCGCGUCCCAUUAGCUAGUUGGCGGNGUAACGGACCACCAAGGCGACGAUGGGUAGCUGGUCUGAGAGGA